AGUGAACGCUGGCGGCGUGCCUAAUACAUGCAAGUCGAACGGAAUUUAAAAGAGCUUGCUCUUUUAAAUUUAGUGGCGCACGGGUGAGUAAUAUAUAGCUAAUCUGCCCCUUACUGGAGGACAACAGUUAGAAAUGACUGCUAAUACUCCAUACUCCUUUUUACCAUAAGAUAAAUCGGGAAAGAAUUUCGGCAAGGGAUGAGACUAUAUCGUAUCAGCUAGUCGGUGGGGUAACGGCCUACCGAGGCUAUGACGCGUAACUGGUCUGAGAGGAUGAUCAGUCACAUUGGAACUGAGACACGGUCCAAACUCCUACGGGAGGCAGCAGUAGGGAAUAUUGCGCAAUGGGGGAAACCCUGACGCAGCAACGCCGCGUGGAGGAUGACACUUUUCGGAGCGUAAACUCCUUUUGUUAGGGAAGAAU
rnacentral:rRNA from 1 species